AGUCUAUGAUGAGCCUCUUUACUUUCUGACACCUCAUAUGAAAGUGUUGCUUUAGCAACGCUUGAUUACAUUUCUGUGUCUGAGGCUU
rnacentral:snoRNA from 13 species